rnacentral:piRNA from 1 species
AUCUGUGGAGUUUCUCAACAGUCAGC